rnacentral:rRNA from 1 species
AGGACGAACGCUGGCGGCGUGCUUAACACAUGCAAGUCGAGCGGUAAGGCUCCUUCGGGAGUACACGAGCGGCGAACGGGUGAGUAACACGUGAGUAAUCUGCCCUUCACUUCGGGAUAACCACCGGAAACGGUGGCUAAUACCGAAUACGACCAGCUUUCGCAUGAGAUGCUGGUGGAAAGUCCUUUCGGUGAAGGAUGUGCUCGUGGCCUAUCAGCUUGUUGGUGGGGUAAUGGCCUACCAAGGCUUCGACGGGUAGCCGGCCUGAGAGGGUGACCGGCCACACUGGGACUGAGACACGGCCCAGACUCCUACGGGAGGCAGCAGUGGGGAAUAUUGGACAAUGGGCGAAAGCCUGAUCCAGCAACGCCGCGUGAGGAUGACGGCCUUCGGGUGUAAACCUCUUUCAGUACCGACGAAGCGCCCUGUCGGUGGUGACGGUAGUACAAGAAGAAGGACCGGCCAACUACGUGCCAGCAGCCGC